AACGUAGGAGACAAACGUUAUCCGGAGUUAUUGGGCGUAAAGGGCGUGUAGGUGGUCUGUUAAGUCUGGCGUGAAAGCUCCUGGCUAAACCGGGAGAGGUCGUUGGAUACUGGCGGACUAGAGGACGGUAGAGGCGUGUGGAAUUCCGGGUGUAGUGGUGAAAUGCGUAGAGAUCCGGAGGAACACCAGUGGCGAAGGCGACACGCUGGGCCGUACCUGACACUGAUACGCGACAGCAUGGGGAGCGAACGGG
rnacentral:rRNA from 1 species